UUGCUCCCUGUGCAAGUUAAGUGUGUGUGUGGCUUGCUUCCUGUGUGAGCCAUGCUUAGGAUAGGUUGGCCCGCGUGCCGUUUAGCUAGAACCAUAACUUAGGGUUGAUUUUGCAUGACAACAUCUAGGCUCGAGUCGUAGUCUCCCUAGAGUUGUGUCUCCCUCUGUUAUCUGGUUAGGCUAGUCCUUUAUCCCUGCGUAGGGGAACUACAUCG
rnacentral:lncRNA from 1 species